rnacentral:tRNA from 1 species
GGGGCCGUGGUCUAGAGGCAUGACGCCACCCUGACGCGGUGGAGGUCGCCGGUUCGAGUCCGGCCGGCCCCA